GUUUUUUUUCUUACACUUGAAAUUCAUAACUCCUAAUGGGCAAUCCAGCUGAAUUAUAUUUCCAUAUGGUUAAAGAAAAAAUGACCAGUCAUUGAGAAAGAUAAAGACAUUUUCCAGUCAACCAUUAACAUCAGAACACAUACACCUUGUUUUAUUUGGCAAUUGGCCUCUGCUUUUUCAACUCCAACGCAAUGCUAACUUAAUAAUACAGAAGACAGUUCACUGACAGGGAGACCAUUCUGCCCCACCAGAACAGCGACACAAUUUAAAAUCGUUUCAAUUCUCAGUCAAGAAAGCCAGAAAUCCCUUUGGUCGUUGGAGGAAAUGGUUUCUGGAUCCUCCCUGGUAAAAUACAGGAAUUCACCCUCCCAUCAUGCAGCAGGUACGUCAGAGUUCAGCUUCUGUGGCAGUUUCCUCUGAGAACAUUUGCAAAGAGAGAUGCUCCCUGCGUACUCUCACAGUCUGGAGCAGAAAAGGGAUUGUGAUAAACUCCAGAAGAUGGGAUUCUUCAUAGUUGUCCUCAGUGUCUUUCCUCCUCUAAUUUGACAAAAUCAGGACUCACAUUUCAGGCUUCUUGCCUCCCCAAGCUGCAGCCACACCAGUAACUUUGUGCAAGCGCAGGUCUCAGUCACAGCCUUGAGCACGUGCAUGGUCUUGAAUGUGAUCACAGAUACAGACAGUUAACGAAUCAACACUCCUGCAUCAAUGGAUUCCUCUCUGGCUGGUAAAUAAAUCACAUUUGCUUUAUUUAAUUCUGUCUUCAAAAUUGUGCUCAAGACUUCCUUCCACCAUGAAGCUUGAAUUCAUCACUCACAUCCAAUUAUCCAAUAAAUUCAGCUCUUCACCAUUCCCAUUGUUCCCCAUUAUAACCUUUUUAGCCCUGAGAGUAUCCAUAGACCCCUUUAAAAAUGUGUGUGUGCACAUAUGUGUGCAUGCGUGCAUGCACAUGUGUGUGAGUGUGCAUAUGAGUGCAUGUGUGUGUGUGUGUGUGUUUCUGCUACCUCUAUUUGAAAACACAGGUAGCCACUGCACGGCCAUAUUAAUAUAUGUUGAUGGAUAAGUUUUAAAGCACAGAUAAUGCUCAUGUUUGCACAGGUGCAUACACUCACCAUCGCUGGAAGCUACCUAAGAACAAUUGUGAAGAUCUGAAAGCUGACAGACAGGUCAAUGAUUUUCACAGUCCAAGUUGAAGCAGAACAGCCAGGAGAGAGGAAGGGCUCUGGGUCACAGCUACCGGGAAAAUCCAGAAGCUUUUGGCAGCUGCCUUGCACCCUCCCAUCUUCAAGCUCUGGGCAGCGGUCGUUCCCUGGUGUCUGGAUCUGGGCACUGGCAUCAGAGUGAGAGGAAGCUUGAUACAGGCUCUUUGUCUCUAGUUUAACAAAGCACAGAGAUAGGACAUAAACUCAUGUCCACACGCUCCAGGAAAGCAUGCGUGUCCACGGCCGUUCUCAGAGAAAAUGAGAGAGCCCAGAGUCCUCAAGAAAACCUCUAAACAGUGAGUAAAGAUAAAAAUCCCUGUUAUGCUCCUGUUCGUUUUUAUUCCAUUUCUGCAGGAUAGACAAGAAGCAAAGUGAGAAAUUAAUGCUGAGGCUCUUUCCCCAGCAUCAGUCAUCCGGCUCUCAGCAAUUGGAAUGUCCAGCGAUGCCGCAUGACACGUGGUUCCUGUCCUCAGGCAGUAGCAGGACAUGCAAAGUAGAAGUGCAUAGCAUGGAGCAGGGGGUGGAGGAAGAAAGCCUGGAUUCCGGCCGGAUCCUCCAGGGAACGGGCAGUGAAGCCAUCACAGGCGGUGGCUUUGGAACUGAACGCUGAGGGUGUAACUGUCUGACUCACGGAGGAUGGAGAAAGGGCUCUGGGGACAGUCUGAGGAGAAGCGUAACCGCCUUUGUCUCCUCCACUAAACGCGGUUAUCCUCAAAGAUUCACUCUCACACGGCUGAUAAGACCAGGCAGUAAUCAUCAGUGAGCCGUGCAAUGCAAUAGAAAGAAAAAAAGUGCAACACCAAAUCUUACUCCCAGUCUGUCUUCCAACUCGUCCUCUGACCUUGCCUUGACCUUCCACCAUCUGCACUGCUGUUUGGUCCUCCCAAGAUCACAGCUCCCUCUGGCCCCUCCCAGGACCUCCAGCCUGGCUUUUCUUUGGUUCUUCAGCUCCAGGUAUGCCUCUUACUUCUAAG
ensembl:lncRNA